UCUCGCCCCCCUCUCUCCCAACCCUUGUACCAGUGCCAAAUGUGUCCCCCCACUGGUACAGAGGAUGGAAGGGAGGGUGGUGCAG